rnacentral:rRNA from 1 species
GACGAACGCUGGCGGCGUGCUUAACACAUGCAAGUCGAACGGAAAGGCCCUGCUUGCCGGGUGCUCGAGUGGCGAACGGGUGAGUAACACGUGGGUGAUCUGCCCCUUAUUUUGGGAUAAGCCUGGUAAACUGGGUCUAAUACUGGAUAGGACCAUGCUGUAGGUGGUGUGGUGGAAAGAUUAGUUUCGGUAAGGGAUGAGCUCGCGGCCUAUCAGCUUGUUGGUGGGGUAAUGGCCUACCAAGGCGUCGACGGGUAGCCGGCCUGAGAGGGUGGACGGCCACAUUGGGACUGAGAUACGGCCCAGACUCCUACGGGAGGCAGCAGUGGGGAAUAUUGCACAAUGGGCGCAAGCCUGAUGCAGCGACGCCGCGUGGGGGAUGACGGCCUUCGGGUUGUAAACUCCUUUCAGCCAUGACGAAGCCCUUGUGGUGACGGUAGUGGUAGAAGAAGCACCGGCUAACUACGUG